AAGUCGUAACAAGGUUUCCGUAGGUGAACCUGCGGAAGGAUCAUUACAAGAAACGAGGCUACGUGCCCCGCUCUUUACCUUGCCUACUGCACUAUCUGUUGCUUCCUGGCGGCGGUUUGCCUGCCGCCAGGGACAUUGUAAAGCCCUGUAUAAGCAUUAAAAACUGAAACAAACCGAAUCGUACAACUUUCAACAAUGGAUCUCUUGGUUCUG
rnacentral:misc_RNA from 1 species